rnacentral:lncRNA from 1 species
GGAGCUGAGCAGGGUGAUCUGCUCCAACAAUGCACCAGUUCCAGAGGUCCUCUGCAGAACCUGAAGAGACAGCACAGCAUCCUGAGGCUGUUAACUUCCUGACUCCUGCCUUUGAAAUAGAACCAGGAACUGAGCUUCCAUGGCCUAGUUUGACCUGGCUUCGCCACUACCCCAGUUCUGAUGAGAUUAUGAUCUGCUACCCCAGAACUAAGCAGAGGGCUCCUUCUAGCAAGUUCCAACGCCAUGCACACCUAGUCACCGCCCCUUGAUGAUGGGACACCACCAGACUGACAUGUUCACUGCAAAACCUGCAACAAGUCUGCUGACAUCUGAGGAGUUGGAGAAAUUAUUGAGUGUACCCCAAUGCCACAUUCUAUUAUUCUUUAAUUUGUUCCAUUAAGUGCAAUCAUCUUCAGGAAGCCUAACACAUACUCACUAUUCCUCCAAGUUUCAUUACAGUUCUUGCUUACUCACUUUUGAAUGGGAGGGUGCUAGGGCCACUCAGAACCCAAUGCAAUUGCUCCAGUUAGGAGCAGCGCAGAGUCCAGAAAUAUAUCCUGACACAUUUGCAACCUCCUGCAAAAAAAGCUACAUGCUACAAGAUGUCAUAACAAGCAUGCUUGUAUGCUUGUUAUGUAUAACUACCAUGUACACACUACAAAAAUAUUUUUUGUCAUACAGAGAAAAUUAUACUUGUUCAUCACAAUAA